rnacentral:rRNA from 1 species
AACGAACGCUGGCGGCAGGCUUAACACAUGCAAGUCGAGCGCCCCGCAAGGGGAGCGGCAGACGGGUGAGUAACGCGUGGGAAUCUACCCAUCUCUACGGAAUAACGCAUGGAAACGUGUGCUAAUACCGUAUACGUCCUUCGGGAGAAAGAUUUAUCGGAGAUGGAUGAGCCCGCGUUGGAUUAGCUAGUUGGUGGGGUAAGGGCCUACCAAGGCGACGAUCCAUAGCUGGUCUGAGAGGAUGAUCAGCCACACUGGGACUGAGACACGGCCCAGACUCCUACGGGAGGCAGCAGUGGGGAAUAUUGGACAAUGGGCGCAAGCCUGAUCCAGCCAUGCCGCGUGAGUGAUGAAGGUCUUAGGAUUGUAAAGCUCUUUCACCGAUGAAGAUAAUGACGGUAGUCGGAGAAGAAGCCCCGGCUAACUUCGUGCCAGCAGCCGCAGUAACAC